GGACUCGCGGCCUAUCAGCUUGUUGGUGAGGUAAUGGCUCACCAAGGCGACGACGGGUAGCCGGCCUGAGAGGGUGACCGGCCACACUGGGACUGAGACACGGCCCAGACUCCUACGGGAGGCAGCAGUGGGGAAUAUUGCACAAUGGGCGCAAGCCUGAUGCAGCAACGCCGCGUGAGGGAUGACGGCCUUCGGGUUGUAAACCUCUUUUAGUAGGGAAGAAGCGAAAGUGACGGUACCUGCAGAAAAAGCACCGGCUAACUACGUGCCAGCAGCCGCGGUAAUACGUAGGGUGCAAGCGUUGUCCGGAAUUAUUGGGCGUAAAGAGCUCGUAGGCGGUUUGUCGCGUCUGCUGUGAAAUCUGGAGGCUCAACCUCCAGCCUGCAGUGGGUACGGGCAGACUAGAGUGCGGUAGGGGAGAUUGGAAUUCCUGGUGUAGCGGUGGAAUGCGCAGAUAUCAGGAGGAACACCGAUGGCGAAGGCAGAUCUCUGGGCCGUAACUGACGCUGAGGAGCGAAAGCGUGGGGAGCGAACAGGAUUAGAUACCCUGGUAGUCCACGCCGUAAACGUUGGGAACUAGAUGUGGGGGCCAUUC
rnacentral:rRNA from 1 species